AAUGAACGUUGGCGGCGUGGAUUAGGCAUGCAAGUCGCGCGAGAAGUUUCCUUCGGGAGACGGACAGCGGCGGAAGGGAGAGGAAUAAGUAGAAAUCUGCCCUCGGGACGGGGAUAGCGGCGGGAAACUGCCGGUAAUACCCGAUAACAUCUUUGGAUCAAAUGGUGUGAUUCCGCCUGAGGAUGAGUCUACUUCCUAUUAGCUAGUUGGUGUGGUAAUGGCUCACCAAGGCAACGAUGGGUAGCGGGUGUGAGAGCACGAUCCGCCUCACUGGGACUGAGACACUGCCCAGACACCUACGGGUGGCUGCAGUCGAGAAUCUUCGGCAAUGGGGGAAACCCUGACCGAGCGACGCCGCGUGCGGGAUGAAGGCCCUCGGGUUGUAAACCGCUGUCGUAAGGGAACAAAUCUAAGAGGGUACUCCCUUUUAGUUGAGUGAUCUUAGGAGGAAGGACGGGCUAAGUUCGUGCCAGCAGCCGCGGUAAAGUCUGUACU
rnacentral:rRNA from 1 species